UACGUAGGGGGCAAGCGUUGUCCGGAUUUACUGGGCGUAAAGCGCGCGUAGGCGGGUUGGUAAGUCCGCUGUGAAAGCCCGGAGCUCAACUCCGGAGGGUCGGUGGAUACUGCCAGUCUUGAAGGUGCUAGGGGGAGAUGGAAUUACCGGUGUAGCGGUGAAAUGCGUAGAUAUCGGUAGGAACACCAGUGGCGAAGGCGGUCUCCUGGGGCAUUCUUGACGCUGAGGCGCGAAAGCCAGGGGAGCGAACGGG
rnacentral:rRNA from 1 species